GCCUCUCGUGAAUUUUCCAGGCAGAUGUCCCGACAAGGAUAGACGAUCUGGUCAUUCUGGGACAGCAGAUGACAAUCUGCAAGUCUGGAGCUCCUCUCUAAUAGAUGUACCCAUAUCAUCAGUUGAUCUGAAUGAGAUUCCAGAUAAGCUGCCCAUCAAAGGAACGGAAGUCGACACAGUUACAGUCACUAUGGAUAACAAUCUGAAUUAACAUAUGGUGGAAGAACAAAGACAUGCUCAAAGGCUUGAACCACAGAAAUUUUGUUUUAGAGGACCUAAGAUGGGAAACAUGGUAAGAAACUGCAUUUUUCAGAUAACCAGACAAGGAAUGGGCAUAAUGAAAGAACGUUUUAGAACUAUUACUCCUCUGACCUGACUGAUGAUGGAACGAGGAGAGAUAAAUCUUAAGAACAUAAUUGAACCUUACUGGUGGUACAUUUUCUAAGUCAUUCCAAUAAUGAUGUCUCCUAAGCUACUUCAUUCUAUUUUGCAACACUUUCAAAUUUUCUUACGUUCUGCGUCAGUACCUAAGACGCAUAUGUGUAAAUUGCCUGAUAAAAUUAGUACUCUUGAUUGGAUGCAGUCCGCUCUUCGUGAUUUCCUGCACUACUGAGUUUUCAAAUAGAACUGAAAUUUCUAUCUCGACAAAAUCUAAUUGGUCUUAGUACUCAUUUUAUAUUUCUUCCUAUUGCUGGAAGUCUAGUACUUCAGACAAAGACUUACCAGCUUAAACAACUUUAAUAUGACUAGCUUCUGAUUUCUGAAUCUGCAAUAAGGAUACAUCUGAUAUAUUCAUUGCACUCAACUGUGCUCCCAGAACCACUGGAUAUCUCAAGAAAAUGAUUUUUAAUUAGUUAAUUAUUUUGUUCCAAUUUUAUGCAUCUCUCCGAACACCCAAGAGACCAAAUAAUCAAUUAGAUUUUCAGAAAAAACUAUGCUUACUGCUUAAAACGCGAAUAAAUAACCCAUUGCAAUACUACUUCCAGCUAAAAAGGCAUAUAUAAACGUGCAUUUAACAUGUAAAGUUACAAGGAUUACAAGGAGAAAUUCCUAAAUUCCGUGUUUUACAACUAAAUAAUCAUUGCAAACACGGCAUUAUAAUCAAUACACUAUCAUUAGUGUUUUACCAUUGAUAUCAGCGCAAAAAUAAAGGAUUUUUUUGUCUGAUUAUAGAAAGAAAUGAAAACAUAUUUAGAGGGAGAAUCAUGCGAGGUAAAAAGAGAAACGUACAAUUUAAUUGCGUCAGAUAAAUAAAACGUGAUGAGAUCGUUGCAGAAGGCGACAGAGAGGAGCGACUAGCAAAAUUCCAAAGCUGAAAUCAGUUCGAAUUUAAAAAUAAAUAAAGUAAAAGAAGAUAGCAGAUCGAAUUUGGGUCCAUUUGCUUGUUUU
rnacentral:lncRNA from 1 species